rnacentral:hammerhead_ribozyme from 1 species
AUUCAGCUGAUGAGUCCAAAAUAAGACAAAACUCGCGUUCUGUAU